GAAAAAGAGGAAAUUAAAAAUGAUGGGGUAAUAGCGAUAGUUAAUGGGUAUUACUCUCGUUUUUAUGAUAAAGAUCCAAAAUUAAGUUGGGACGAAUUAGGAGAAACAUUGGAAGCUGUCUUCGAAGCGGUAGAAACAAAAACAGUGGUAACCACUACGUGGGGAGACGGAUUGUUCGGAUAUCCCGACAAUAUGGCCAGGAUAAUGAUAUAUGAAGCUAUGAGGAAUUGGUUAAGCAAAGGUGCAGGACGUCGAAUUAUAUGGGUCCUACAAACCAGAGAAAAAUUUCAAGAAGCAAACACCCUCCUGUCUCUGCAUCAUACAAAAAUAGCAAAAAUACCUGAGGAGGACCUCGGCUACAAAAUAGAAGGAUUAAAGGUGUUGUCAAAGACGCGGCCAAGGUCAAAAUCAGCAGAGAGGGGCGCAAGGUCUGAUACAAUAGGAAGAGACGGAGGCAAGGGUCAAAUAAAAACAGCAAAGCCACCUCCAUAUGAAGAACCACAAGCGGGAGCAUCGCCGUACAGUACAAUAAUUACACAAAUAAUGCCUCUUACUCCCUCAGCCCCUUAUUUCACAGACGAGGGCAUAAUAGAUGCACUAAUAGAAGAGGGAGACGGAGGUCUAAGUAGUAAAUACUUAGUAACUACUGAGGAUGAGGGAGGCAGCUCCGGGAGUGAAGAGGAGGAUGAUGAAGGGCUUGUGCCUUUCAGGGAGGAUAAUGCACAACAGAUGUGGUUAGAGAGGAGAGCUGCAGAAGCCUAUCAUCAGUAUAGAGAUGUGACAGGGCCGAGCAAUAAUGAGAGCAGAGAAAGAGACGCUCUCCUUGAGUUUGAAUUAAAGGAAUUAAAAUUAAGAUGUGAAACGGCUGAGGAAGAGCAUAGGAAUGCUGAAAAGGAAAGGCGGAAAAAAGAAAAAGGGAAUCAGGAACGACAUCUCAGGGAGUUGCAAAUAUUAGAAAUAAAAAAGAACAUCCAAAUAAAGGAAGGAGAAAUAGCAAACAGAUCAGCUUUAGAAUUGCAAAAACAAUCUUUCCAGGAACAAGUCGAUCAGUACAGACAAGAGUUGAGCUAUGUGGAGAAAAAAUUGAGACAUUAUGACCAGAUUGUAAAAAAGCAGGAAGAAGAAGCGAAAAAGCGAGAGGAGACAAUUAAUGCUUAUAGAAGCUCAGGAAGCCUUCACCCCCCCAGAGAAAAAGACAACAACCCGAUAGAAGUAAGCUCGGAGGAGGGGGAUGAUGAAAUUGUCCAAACGCCACAUUCCCCCCCACCACAGAAAGAACUAAUGAUGACGACAGAGAAAAAAACUAAUUUACCAGAAAAAGAGGAGCUAAGACUCACAACUGAUAAUGGCCAGAUAAAAAUAAUAAAUAGCACCACAGAAAAAUUUGAAAUGCCACGAAAAUACGCAUAUGUCACCUGGGUGAGUGACUAUGAAACAGGGUCUGUAACAAAAAUAAUACAAACAUCAAGAAGACAGAGCUCUUUUGCACCACGACAAACAUAUCAAGGGAAUCACAGGGAAGAAAACUCUCCGAGGCUAAAUUCAACAGCGGGAGGUCGAAGGAAGGGAAACCCAAAUCAGAUCAGGCCUGAGAUACCAGGGUAUUUUCCGCGAAAGAAUCAAAUGGAGGGACAGAGGUUACGGGAGACUCAGAAGGGUCAGAAACCAAGGAAUUCAGGAAUAAAAGAAGGAGCACCUGCCUGUCCGAGAGUGUCGGACGAAGAUUUUCAGAAAAUGACAAAGGCAGAGAGGGACAAUCUAAUGAAUGAAAAGGAAGAAUGGAAGAUGAAGUGGAUAAAGGACUAUCAGGUAGUUCCUCGGGCAAGAAGGAGCAAAGCACAGUAACGCUCCCGGGGUGAGAAAUAAUCGGAAAUGAUAUAAUAGGGUGGCUAAAGAUAAACGAGAACUCCAGGGGGUUACAUCAGACACAGAACAAAUAUGUCCAUCUUAUUAGAGCCUUGGACAGAACCCAUGAAUAAAUAUGCCUUAGUGGAAUUAGCAAAUGGGAAAGAAUGCACCAUGCCAAUAGGAAAAUUUAGGGGCAGGGGUGUCUUGAUAGGUCCCCAUGCACUGUUGGCUUUUAAAGAUAUAGACUGGCUGGAGAGAAAUCCAGUAAGAUGGAUGAAAGAAAUAAUAAUUCCAGAAGUAUUACAAAACGUAAUAGAUAAAUCUGAAUUAAGUGAUAAAGAAAGAAUAAUAGGCAUACUAAGAAAAGCAGAAGUGGCAAAAUUCAAGAAUGACGUAGGUAUGAUAAAAACUCAGCCAUAUGUUACUAGGGGAACGAUGCCAGGAAAACAAAAACAAUACCGGAAUUGGAGGAACUCGGAGUCGUUAGAAAAGUAGAUGAACCGCCUUGCUUGAUGCCUGUUCAGGCUG
rnacentral:lncRNA from 1 species